AUUUAAAAUUUUAAUGUUAAAAAAUAAUUAAAAUGAAUUAAAAUUUUUAAAGUAUUAAUAAUAUUAGUAGGUUUUUGUUUUAGUUGUUAAAAUAAAUAAUAUAGUUAUAUUUAUAAGUAAUUAGUAUAUAAUUAGAAAAAUGAAAUAUAAUUAAAUAAUAAAAUUUUAAGUAAUAAGAAUUUGUAUUUUGUGUAUCAAAGAUUAUUUAAUUAAAAAUAUAAAUUAAUGUAUAUAUAAUUAUUAAUCUCAAAAAUUUUGGGUAUAAUUUUAUAUUAUUUUUAUUAUAAUAAAAAUAUAAUUAAUAUAAAAUUAGAAAUGAAAUGUUAUUCGAUUAAAUUAAUAUUUAGUUUAAAAAAAAAUAAAUUUAAUUUAGAUAAAUUAAAUAUUUAGUUAUUUAAUUAGUUAAAAAUUUUAAUUUAUUGAAUUUUUUAGGGAUAAGCUUAAAAAAUUAUUAAAUUUAUUUUUUAAAAAAUAAAUUUAUUUAAUUAGAAAUUUUAAUUAAUUAAUUUAUUUAAAUAUUAUUUAAUUUUAUAUUAAUUUAAGUAUUUUUAUUUAUUUUUUAAUUUAUAAAUUUAGUAAUAAUAAUAAUAUUAGUAUAAAAAUAUGUUAUAUUUAUAUUUGAUUUAUGUAAUUAUAAUUAAUAAAUAUGAAUUCGACAAAAUAUAUAUUUACCUGUUUAACAAAAACAUGUCUUUUUGUAAUUUAUUUUAAGUCUAAUCUGCUCUCUGAAAGAAUUUUUAAAGGCCGCAUUAAAAUGUGCAAAGGUAGCAUAAUAAAUAGUUUUUUAAUUAAAAACUAGAAUGAAUGAUUGAAUAAAAUAUAUAUUUUAUUUUUAUUAAAAUUAAAAUUUAAAUUUUUAGUGAAAAUGCUAAAUUAAGAAAAAAAGACGAAAAGACCCUAUAAAUUUUUAUUUUUAUAUAAAUAUUUAUAUUUUAUUUGUUUAAAAGUUUAAUUGGGGUGAUUAAAAAAUUUAAUUAACUUUUUAAUUAUUUAUUCAUUAAUUAAUGUAAAUUUUAUUUAAUUUAAAUUUUAAAAAAUAAAACAAAAUACUUUAGGGAUAACAGCAUAAUUUUAGUUUAAAGAUUUUAUUUAAAUUAAAGAUUGUGACCUCGAUGUUGGAUUAAAAUAAGUUUAAAAAGAGAAUUUUAAAUUUUGAGUCUGUUCGACUUUUUUAUUUUACAUGAUCUGAGUUCAAACCGGUGUGAGCCAGGUUGGUUUCUAUCUUUUAAAAAAAAUAAUUUAGUACGAAAGGAAUUGUUUAUUGUGAAUUAUUUAUAAAUUAUAGAUUAAAAUUAAUUUUA
rnacentral:rRNA from 1 species